rnacentral:lncRNA from 1 species
CUCUACUGCUGAUCUACAUCUUGCUCCUUUACCAUUUCACAAAUGAGUUACGGUGACAAUUUCCUCUUUCUGGUCGCGUGGAUAGCAAAGGAAGAACCAAAAGAAACAGCUGGG